rnacentral:misc_RNA from 1 species
AAAAAAUGCCACAGACAAGAAUCCCCAUAAUCUAUCAAAUGUGCAGCAAUUCAGCCCGCUCCUGAAUUUGUCAGGAAUAUAACAGGCAUGUCAGAAGUCAACAUGCUUUUCAUAAAAAGCACAAAAGAAUCCAUCAGAGGGGGAAAAUUAAAAUAAAAUCAAUGCAAAUGUGAACUUGUUUCCUGGUCCACGUAAUGCUACACAUUAACAUGACUCUAAUUCACGUAUAUGGUUACAAUCACAAGUGGAAGUACACAGAGAAACACAAAGAAGACAUUUUCUAUGAUGAACAAAUUCAGGAAACAUAACCAACUGACCUG